UUUAUGGAGAGUUUGAUCCUGGCUCAGAGUGAACGCUGGCGGCGUGCCUAAUACAUGCAAGUCGAACGAUGAAGCUUCUAGCUUGCUAGAAUGCUGAUUAGUGGCGCACGGGUGAGUAACGCAUAGGUUAUGUGCCUCUUAGUUUGGGAUAGCCAUUGGAAACGAUGAUUAAUACCAGAUACUCCCUACGGGGGAAAGAUUUAUCGCUAAGAGAUCAGCCUAUGUCCUAUCAGCUUGUUGGUAAGGUAAUGGCUUACCAAGGCUAUGACGGGUAUCCGGCCUGAGAGGGUGAACGGACACACUGGAACUGAGACACGGUCCAGACUCCUACGGGAGGCAGCAGUAGGGAAUAUUGCUCAAUGGGGGAAACCCUGAAGCAGCAACGCCGCGUGGAGGAUGAAGGUUUUAGGAUUGUAAACUCCUUUUGUUAGAGAAGAUAAUGACGGUAUCUAACGAAUAAGCACCGGCUAACUCCGUGCCAGCAGCCGCGGUAAUACGGAGGGUGCAAGCGUUACUCGGAAUCACUGGGCGUAAAGAGCGCGUAGGCGGGAUAGUCAGUCAGGUGUGAAAUCCUAUGGCUUAACCAUAGAACUGCAUUUGAAACUACUAUUCUAGAGUGUGGGAGAGGUAGGUGGAAUUCUUGGUGUAGGGGUAAAAUCCGUAGAGAUCAAGAGGAAUACUCAUUGCGAAGGCGACCUGCUGGAACAUUACUGACGCUGAUUGCGCGAAAGCGUGGGGAGCAAACAGGAUUAGAUACCCUGGUAGUCCACGCCCUAAACGAUGGAUGCUAGUUGUUGGAGGGCUUAGUCUCUCCAGUAAUGCAGCUAACGCAUUAAGCAUCCCGCCUGGGGAGUACGGUCGCAAGAUUAAAACUCAAAGGAAUAGACGGGGACCCGCACAAGCGGUGGAGCAUGUGGUUUAAUUCGAAGAUACACGAAGAACCUUACCUAGGCUUGACAUUGAGAGAAUCCGCUAGAAAUAGUGGAGUGUCUGGCUUGCUAGACCUUGAAAACAGGUGCUGCACGGCUGUCGUCAGCUCGUGUCGUGAGAUGUUGGGUUAAGUCCCGCAACGAGCGCAACCCCCUUUCUUAGUUGCUAACAGGUCAUGCUGAGAACUCUAAGGAUACUGCCUCCGUAAGGAGGAGGAAGGUGGGGACGACGUCAAGUCAUCAUGGCCCUUACGCCUAGGGCUACACACGUGCUACAAUGGGGUGCACAAAGAGAAGCAAUACUGCGAAGUGGAGCCAAUCUUCAAAACAUCUCUCAGUUCGGAUUGUAGGCUGCAACUCGCCUGCAUGAAGCUGGAAUCGCUAGUAAUCGCAAAUCAGCCAUGUUGCGGUGAAUACGUUCCCGGGUCUUGUACUCACCGCCCGUCACACCAUGGGAGUUGUGUUUGCCUUAAGUCAGGAUGCUAAAUUGGCUACUGCCCACGGCACACACAGCGACUGGGGUGAAGUCGUAACAAGGUAACCGUAGGUGAACCUGCGGUUGGAUCACCUCCUUUCUAGA
rnacentral:rRNA from 1 species